rnacentral:lncRNA from 1 species
GGGUUGAAUCAUGCCACGAUCACAGACUGGGAGAUCACUGCCUCCUAGAUCUUGAGGUAGCUUUGGUGGGUUUGCCUCCUCUCUGGGCUCUGAAAAAGCAUCCACAGUUGCUCUGAUUAUGGUGGUGGCUGGGAAGCUAGAUUUGGUGGAGGUGCCAUAAUAGGAGGUCAAGGUGGCACUGUCGAGAGGACUGGUUGCACCACAGGAGGGGGUGUAGG